GGGACAGCUGAACUUCCUCUUCCGGAUCACUCAUGGGAGGAGAGUGGUGCGCAGAGCGGCUUUUGUGCUCUUCCCAGGGUCGAAGCAGCAGCUGGAAGAAAAACUGGAUGGCAAUAAGAGCACUCUGGACAACUAUAAACAACAAGCAAUGUUGAAAAGGGAAGAAAAUCAAGCCAGAAAUCAAAAUAUUUUCCAUUUCCUGCAGAAAACCAUACAAUGAUCCUCCUCCUCCAGCAGCUGUUAGAUAAAAGAGAGAAUAUCAAGAAAGAGUAAGCAGAUUAUGCAGAACUCAAGGAUGCAUUGCAUGAAAAAUCAAUGGAGAUUAUUUUUCAUUCAGCAAAAUAGGGAAACAUCUGGAAGUCUGUUGGGAGGAAAAGGUCAAUAGUAAAGAACACGUAUAACAGACAGGAAUGCAGGCCUGUCCUUGUGAGAAAGAAGAUGGCUUGAAUGAAAGCACCACCAAACAAGGUAUUGUCCAUAUUUUUGACCACCUCAAGAAUCUCAGCUGUGAGAAAGCUCCAUAGAUUUGCCUAUCGUGGAAAAAACACAGAUUGCAAAUAUGCACAAGAGGAGCCGGAAAGGGAGAAAAUCCAUACAAAUUACCUGAAUGUGGCAAAAGCUUUGGUCACCACAGCUCCCUUAUAGUUCAUGGAAGCACCUCCACACAAGAGGAAAGCCACAAAACUGCUCCCAAUGUGGUAAAUGCUUUACGUGAGCAUGGUAACAUGGUGCUGUAUCAGAUAACUUACAGUAGGGAGAAACAUUUAACUCUGCAGAUUAUGUGAAAGUUUCAUUAGAAAUUCCCAGGUCUUGAGACACUGAAGGA